rnacentral:rRNA from 1 species
UGGGGAAUAUUGCACAAUGGGCGCAAGCCUGAUGCAGCCAUGCCGCGUGUGUGAAGAAGGCCUUCGGGUUGUAAAGCACUUUCAGCGAGGAGGAAGGUGGUGAGCUUAAUACGCUCAUCAAUUGACGUUACUCGCAGAAGAAGCACCGGCUAACUCCGUGCCAGCAGCCGCGGUAAUACGGAGGGUGCAAGCGUUAAUCGGAAUUACUGGGCGUAAAGCGCACGCAGGCGGUUUGUUAAGUCAGAUGUGAAAUCCCCGGGCUCAACCUGGGAACUGCAUUUGAAACUGGCAAGCUAGAGUCUCGUAGAGGGGGGUAGAAUUCCAGGUGUAGCGGUGAAAUGCGUAGAGAUCUGGAGGAAUACCGGUGGCGAAGGCGGCCCCCUGGACGAAGACUGACGCUCAGGUGCGAAAGCGUGGGGCAGCAAACAGGAUUAGAUACCCUGGUAGUCCAGCGCUGUAAACGAUGUCGAUUUUGGAGGUUGUGCCCUUGAGGCGUGGCUUCCGGAGCUAACGCGUUAAAUCGACCGCCUGGGGAGUACGGCCGCAAGGUUAAAACUUAAAUGAAUUGAC